GUAGUGGUGUUUCAGUGGUAGAAUUCUUGCCUUCCAUGUCAGAGACCCGGGUUGGAUUCCCAGCCGAUGCA
rnacentral:tRNA from 1 species